GACGAACGCUGGCGGCGUGCUUAACACAUGCAAGUCGAACGGAAUCCAUGGUGUAGCAAUACACCGGAAGAUUUAGUGGCGAACGGGUGAGGAUCACGUGAGAAACCUGCCCCAGACUUUGGGAUAACAAUUGGAAACGAUUGCUAAUACCGAAUGACGUCGGAGAACCGCAUGGUUCACUGACGAAAGGAAAUCCGGUUUGGGAGGGUCUCGCGGCCUAUCAGCUUGUUGGUGGGGUAAUGGCCUACCAAGGCAACGACGGGUAGCUGGUCUGAGAGGAUGAUCAGCCACACUGGGACUGAGACACGGCCCAGACUCCUACGGGAGGCAGCAGUGGGGAAUCUUGCGCAAUGGGCGAAAGCCUGACGCAGCAACGCCGCGUGCGGGAUGAAGGCCUUCGGGCUGUAAACCGCUUUCAGCAGGAACGAAAAUGACGGUACCUGCAGAAGAAGGAGCGGCCAACUACGUGCCAGCAGCCGCGGUGACACGUAGGCUCCAAGCGUUGUCCGGAUUUAUUGGGCGUAAAGAGCUCGUAGGCGGUUUAGUAAGUCGGGUGUUAAAACUCUGGGCUCAACCCGGAGAGGCCAUCCGAUACUGCUGUGACUUGAGUUCAGGAGGGGAGCGGGGAAUUCCUAGUGUAGCGGUGAAAUGCGCAGAUAUUAGGAGGAACACCGGUGGCGAAG
rnacentral:rRNA from 1 species